rnacentral:rRNA from 1 species
GGCGGCGUGCCUAACACAUGCAAGUCGAGCGAAGCACUUUGCUUAGAUUCUUCGGAUGAAGAGGAUUGUGACUGAGCGGCGGACGGGUGAGUAACGCGUGGGUAACCUGCCUCAUACAGGGGGAUAACAGUUACAAAUGACUGCUAAUACCGCAUAAGACCACAGCACCGCAUGGUGCGGGGGUAAAAACUCCGGUGGUAUGAGAUGGACCCGCGUCUGAUUAGCUACGCUGGUAAGGUAACGGCUUACCAAGGCGACGAUCAGUAGCCGACCUGAGAGGGUGACCGGCCACAUUGGGACUGAGACACGGCCCAAACUCCUACGGGAGGCAGCAGUGGGGAAUAUUGCACAAUGGGGGAAACCCUGAUGCAGCGACGCCGCGUGAGCGAACAAGUCUUUCGGUAUGUAAAGCUCUAUCAGCAGGGAAGAAAAUGACGGUACCUGACUAAGAAGCACCGGCUAAAUACGUGCCAGCAGCCGCGGUAAUACGUAUGGUGCAAGCGUUAUCUCGGAUUUACUGGGUGUAAAGGGAGCGUAGACCGAUGGGCACGUCUGAUGUGAAAACCCGGGGCUCAACCCCGGGACUGCAUUGGAAACUGUUCAUCUAGAGUGCUGGAGAGGUAAGUGGAAUUCCUAGUGUAGCCGUGAAAUGCGUAGAUAUUAGGAGGACCACCACUGGCGAAGGCGGCUUACUGGACAGUCACUGACGUGGAGGCUGGAAAAGCGGGGGGGAGCAAACAGGAUUAGAUACCCUGGUAGUCCACGCCGUAAUCGAUGACUACUAGGUGUCGGGGUGGCAAAGCCAUUCGGUGCCGCAGCAAACGCAAUAAGUAGUCCACCUGGGGAGUACGUUCGCAAGAAUGAGACUCAAAGGAAUUGACGGGGACCCGCACAAGCGGUGGAGCAUGUGGUUUAAUUCGAAGCAACGCGAAGAACCUUACCUGCUCUUGACAUCCCGCUGACCGGACGGUAAUGCGUCCUUCCCUUCGGGGCAGCGGAGACAGGUGGUGCAUGGUUGUCGUCAGCUCGUGUCGUGAGAUGUUGGGUUAAGUCCCGCAACGAGCGCAACCCCUAUCUUUAGUAGCCAGCGGCCAGGCCGGGCACUCUAGAGAGACUGCCGGGGAUAACCCGGAGGAAGGUGGGGAUGACGUCAAAUCAUCAUGCCCCUUAUGAGCAGGGCUACACACGUGCUACAAUGGCGUAAACAAAGGGAAGCGAGACCGCGAGGUGGAGCAAAUCCCAAAAAUAACGUCUCAGUUCGGAUUGUAGUCUGCAACUCGACUACAUGAAGCUGGAAUCGCUAGUAAUCGCGAAUCAGAAUGUCGCGGUGAAUACGUUCCCGGGUCUUGUACACACCGCCCGUCACACCAUGGGAGUCAGUAACGCCCGAAGUCAGUGACCCAACCGUAAGGAGGGAGCUGCCGAAGGCGGGACCGAUAAAUGGGGUGAAGUCAUAACA